AGUCACUGACAUUAGACUACCCGGUAGUCCCAGCCGUAAACAAUGUGCGUUAGGUGUGUCGGUAACCACGCGUUACUGAUGCGCCGAAGAGAAAUCGUAGAAACGCACCACCGUGGGAAGUACGGUCGCAAGGCUAGAAACUUAAAGGAAUUGGCGGGGAGCACCACAACAGGUGGAGCCUGCGGUUUAAUUGGAUUCAACGCCGGACAUCUCACCGGAUAAGACAGCUGAAUGAUUGUCAAUCUGAAGGUUUUACAUGACUAGCUG
rnacentral:rRNA from 1 species